rnacentral:rRNA from 1 species
GCUCAGAACGAACGCUGGCGGCAGGCUUAACACAUGCAAGUCGAGCGCCCCGCAAGGGGAGCGGCAGACGGGUGAGUAACGCGUGGGAAUCUACCCUUUUCUACGGAAUAACGCAGGGAAACUUGUGCUAAUACCGUAUAAGCCCUUCGGGGGAAAGAUUUAUCGGGAAAGGAUGAGCCCGCGUUGGAUUAGCUAGUUGGUGGGGUAAAGGCCUACCAAGGCGACGAUCCAUAGCUGGUCUGAGAGGAUGAUCAGCCACAUUGGGACUGAGACACGGCCCAAACUCCUACGGGAGGCAGCAGUGGGGAAUAUUGGACAAUGGGCGCAAGCCUGAUCCAGCCAUGCCGCGUGAGUGAUGAAGGCCCUAGGGUUGUAAAGCUCU